rnacentral:lncRNA from 1 species
ACUUUUAAGUUUUAUCAGCUAGUUCAUGCUUGCGUUGAAAGAGUGGUCGUUUGCGCUGGGUCAUCACUGUGUAGUAUUGGGGAUACUUAGGUGAGAAAAAAACUUAACGCUAGAGACGUUCACGCACUAGUGGAGAAGCCAGGAUUGUUGCCCUAGAGUUACAGUAGAUAAAAGUACCUCAGAGAACUGCGGGGGCUCCCAACCUGGACGCUUGCACCGGAGUAUUAAAUCCAGCUAGAGAAUGGCAUGUGCAAAGAUACAGAGCUUUUAGAAGUUGCCUGCAUUCCUUGGCCCCUUCCUCACAUCAUUCCAACCAACUUCCAUCCUUACAAUCGAUUACUUUCCUGUAAUAGCUACAGUCAAAUGGGCAGCUGAAGAUGAUGAUGAUGAUGAUCUUGACACCGAGAAGCAGAAGACCAAUGAAGAUGACCAGACAGCAAAAAAGGAUAAGUUAAAAGAAGGGUCUCGCUCUGUAUCCCAGGCUGGAGUUCAGUGGCACGAUCUCCGCUCGCUGCAACCUCCGCCUCCUGGGUUCAAGUGAUUCUCCUGCCUCAGCCUCCCAAGUAGCUGGAUUACAGGUGCGUACCACCAUGCCUGGCUAAUUUUUUGUAUUUUUAGUAGAGAUGGGGUUUCACCAUUUUGGCCAGGCUGGUCUUAAACUCCUGAUCUCAAGUGAUCUGCCCACCUCGGCCUCCAAAAGUUCUUGGAUUAUAGGCGUGAGCCACCGCACCUGGCACAACAACUAAGAUCUUUCUUCCCGCCUCCCUGCUCCCCCAGAGACAGUCUCGCUCUGUCAACCAGGCUGGAGUGCAGUGGCGCAAUCUUGGCUCACUGCAACCUCCACUUUCCAGGUUCAAGUGAUCCUCCCGUCUCAGCCUCCCAAGUAGCUGGGAUUACAGGCGCGUGCCACCAUGCCCAGCUAAUUUUUGUAUUUUUUUAGAGACAGGGUUUCACCAUGUUGGCUAGGCUGGAAAACUAAGAUCUUAAUUUGAGUGCCAAAGGGUGUCCCACAGCUCCUUUCCUAUAUUUUGUUAUUGGGGCGGGGCCAGGACACACAUUUCAGUAAUCUUUGCUUUUAAGGGUUAUGAGGUAACUUAAAAUAUGGAAAAAAAAAAAACAGGUAUAACACACAGAACCUUAGAUUUCAUUGUUGCCAAGCUCCAUGUGAACUAGGAUAUGAAUAGUAGCAAUGAUUCAAUUAUUAUUAAUAGCAUACACUUACUAGAUACCAAACACUGGGUGAAGUGUGAUACAUAAGUCAUCUCAUUUAUGUAAACAUUGUGAGGAAAUAGAGCACUGGAGAGUUAAGGAACUCACUCGGGUACUCACUGCUGGUAAGUGAUGCAGCCAGGAUUCAACCCAGCCCAUCAGAUGGCAGCAUCUGCAUCUAUAACCAUUACACUAUUUCUUUCUUCAAGCUCCCAAUUUGUGUUCUGAGGAGAGACUAAAUAAGGAAAAGAAAAAAAUGUCUUCCCCUAUUUAGCCACCAGACCUUUGCCCAUGACUUGGAAGUGUUUGCUGUGGAGUCUCCUAUCUUGUCUUUUUUUUUUUUUUUGAGAUGGAGUCUCGCUCUGUCUCCCAGGCUGGAGUGCAGUGGCAUGAUCUCGGCUCACUGCAAUCUCCUCCUUCUGGGCCCAAGCGAUUCUCCUGCCUCAUUCUUCCCAGUAGCUGGGAUUAUAGGCUUCCGCCCCAACGCCUGGCUAAUUUUUGUAUUUUUAGUAGAGACAAGGUUUCUCUAUUGGUCAGGCUGGUCUGGAACUCCUGACCUCAAGUGAUCCUCCCCCUUUGGUAUCCCAAAGUGCUGGGAUUACAGGCGUGAGCCACUGCACCUAGCCUCCUAUCUUGUCUUCAUGAGUGUUCAGAAUUUUGUGGUGCACUGAUCAGAAGCCCAGAGGAAUCUAGACUUCAUUGAGGUGCACCUUGGUAUUUGAAUCCCACUCUCUCUUUUUGUUUUUAUUUUUUGGUGGAGUGGGAGGGUAGGGGCAGACAGAGUCUCACUCUGUUGCCCAGGCCAAAGUGCAGUGGGCACAGCUCACUGCAGCCUUGACCUCACAGGCUUAAAUCAUCCUCCCACCUCAGCCUCCGGAGUAGCUAGGACUAUAGGUGCACCACCACACCUGGCUAAUUUUUGUAUUUUUUGUAGAACUGAGGUUUCGCCAUGUUGCCCAGGCUGGUCUCAAACUCCUGGGCUCAAGCAAUCUGCCCGCCUCGGCCUCCCAAAGUGCUGAGAUUACAGUCAUGAGCUACUGUGCCCAGCCCAAAUUCCUCUUUAUCAGCAUCAGAUCAUAUCAAUAUCAAUUUUAUAAAGACCAUUAAUAUCAACCAGGAGAAGGAUGAAAGCAAAAUGUUCUAAGAGCAAAGGGACUGCUGAUUAUCAUCAAGUGACCCUAUUUCACAGGAAGAAAAUGUGGAUGACAUUUUAUGACCAACAGCAUUGUUUAUUUAACCUUGGAGCACAAUAGAGAAAAACUUUUGACUCCAACCCCCAGUCCCUGAAGGCAGAAGUCUGAAAUACCCUCUCAAUUCUGUUUAUGGCCUUAAAGCAUUUGUCUUAGCCUAUAUUCUCCCCAAAGCAGGGCCUGAGACAAAGGCUUAUGUGUGAGUAGUUUAAUUUGCUGUGCUGAUCUCAGGAAGCAGGAGCUAUGCUUGCAGAAAAUGAAAUAGGGAGUGCAAAUAUAAGGAUAAGAUAUUAACUACUACUGAGGACAACUGAUUACUCAAGCAUGGGAGACCUUCUGAGAGACCAUAUAGGAUGCAUUUAAGGACUGUCUUGCUCAGGGGAAGAGAGGGAGAAAAGGUUAUCCAUCAGUUUCCCUCUCCCAUUGGUCAAGACUGGCCCUAGGGAACAUUUAUGUUUCCUGUAAAUGAGUGCUAAGUGGACUCCCACAGACAUCAGGCAUGGCAGCUCAAAGAGACUGGAAGGCAGAAAAUGAAAGACAUGAGACGGGCCUGAGGCCAGGCAUUUUCAGGUUACAUCUUCAUGAAGAUGGUCACUGCUGCACAAUGGCUGGAAUAAGAGGUGAGACUGACAAGAUAUGAAGUGGGACAUGAGAGGUGUUUGACAGAGUCCAACCCUUGCACCAUUCAAGCCCACUUAAAAUGCCCUUGUGUAAAUUUAAUUUGUCAUACGGUCGUCUUCAGUAUGGCAGUUGGCUGCGUUCUCUGCAAACACUUGAUAAUCCAAGCAAAUUAGUGAAACAAGUUAUAACACUUGCUGCUACAGUUGAUCCCAAAGCUGUAAUUGAUAUUCAUUAUCUGCUUCUUCUACCACUCAAUCUAGAUUUCUCUUAUUCUCAUCUAGCACUUUGGCUGGCCUGGAUUUCUUGCUUGGUGGUGGGACUAUGACUGUCCCUGAAGUCCUUAUGAUUGCCUUACCCUUGAUAUGAUCAUGAUUACUACAAAUAGCCUGUUCAUCAUUACCACUGGAUUUGUUCCUGAGCUGACACUUAACUGAGCCUUACCAGAACAUUCCACCAUCAUCUGCCAGGGUCUGUUUUAUUGCAGAAGCCAUAGAGGUGAUCUGAAUAGAGAUAUAAUGGGCAUAAACAGGCUUGUGUCCUCUAAGUCUGUUCUGAUGGUGUUAAUCUCUGCAGUUCUUUCUGGGAUGCAAUAUUGCUUCUACUGAUGGGGGCAGUGAAGUGUCUGGGUAACUUCAGGGGCUUCCACUUGGCCCUUUCUACUACAGACUCUUACUCGGCUGGAUGUGGUGGCUCACGCCUGUAAUUCCAGCACUUUGGGAGGCCGAGGCGGGCGGAUCACUUGAGGUCAGGAGUUCGAGAUCAGCCUGGCCAAUGUGGUGAAACCCCAUCUCUACUAACAUUAGAGACUACAAAAAUUAGCCGUGUGUGGUGGUGGCAUGCCUGUAAUUCCAGCUACUCAGGAGGCUGAGGCAGGGGAAUCGCUUGAACCCAGGAGGUGGAGGUUGCAGUGAGCCGGGAUCAAGCCAUUGUACUCCAGCCUGGGUGACAGAACAAGACUCUGUCUCAAAAAAAAAAAAGAUUCUUACUCCUCAGGUCAGAAAAACAACACAAGAAUUCUAAUAUCUGCUAAAUAUAUAUCUGCUGAUCUCUACUUCCAGAAACUGGGGAAUUAACCACAGGGUGGGUCCGUGAAUGCAUAGAACCAAUGUGAAAUGCAUUUGGGCUAGAAGUCAUUUUAUCACUUGGCUUUCAUCAUUCAAAUUCAUCAUCUAAAAAUGGGGGGCUGCAUGCGGUGCCUCACACCUGUAAUUCCAGCACUUUGGGAGGCUGAGGUGGGUGGAUCAUCUGAGGUGAGGAGUUCAAGACUCAUCCUGGCCCACAAUGCAAAACCCGUCUGCACUAAAAAUACAAACAUUAGCCAGGCGUGGUGGCGGGCACUUGUAGUCCCAGCUACUCGAGAGGCUGAGGCGGGAGAAUCACUUGAACCCAGGAGAUGGAGGUUGCAGUCAGCCGAGAUUGUGCCACUUCACUCCAGCCUGGGUGACGGAGCGAGACUCCCUGUCAAUAAAUAAAUAAAUAAAUAAAUAAUGGGGGUGACAGUUCUUAUCACUUACGGGUUUUGUGAGGAUUAAAUGGUAUGUGUAAACACCAAAACAGCUGUUGACACACAGUAGGUGUUCAAGAAAUAGUACUGUGAUAGGACAUUUUUCUACAGAAAUCCUGACUCCCGCUUUGGAUGAUUUCCUUGAAUCCUGAGUUUUUUGAAUUCCCCAAAUUGUCCUCCAUGGUACUACAUAGUCAUUAAGAACAAAGAUUUAGGAGCCAGAUCAUUGGGGUUUUGAAUCUUGGCUCUACCAGUCACUAGCUGUUGGAUGUUGGGCAAGUGGUUUAAUCUAUCUGUGAUUCAAUUUCUUUAAUCUAUAAAAUGAGAAAAAUUAUAUAUCUCACAGUAUUGUUUUGGUAAUUGAGUUAUUAUAUGGAAAACACCUAGAAUUGCCUGGCACAUAGUAAGCAGAAUGUAACUGUUAGCUAUUAUUAUUUUAUUGUUAUUUUUUGAGAUGGGGUCUCACUCUGUUGCCCAGGCUGGAGUGCAAUGGUGAGAUCAUGGCUUGCUGCAGCCUCAACCUCCCACGCUUAAGUGAUCCUCCCACCUCAGCCUCCCAAGUAGCUGGGACUACAGGUGCAUGCCACCACACCCAGCUAAUUUUUGUAUAUUUGUAGAGACAGGGUUUCACCAUGUUACCCAGGCUGGUCUUGAGUCCUGGGCUCAAACAAUCCGCACACUUUGGCCUCCCAAAGUGCUGGGAUUACAGGUGUGAGCCACCAUGCCUGGCCUAUUAUUAUUAUUAAUUGGCCAACACUACCACCUAGAAUUUCUUACUAGCUGGCUUUUUUUCCCCCAUCCGUUGCUUAGCUACAUAUAUCUCCCCUCUCACUCUUCUCUUUCUCCUUCCAAAUCAAAAGGUUACAGCCUGCUGGUGGCCAUUCUGACAGGCUGGGAAGCAUAGGCUCCAGUUAGAAGCCAGAAACAGGCUCUUCCUCUCCUUCCAAAUCAUACCUGGGGGACUCAGCUUUUCUGGGAAACGUAAUAAUAGAAACAUUUACCCAGCACUUACUCAGAGUAUUGUGCUAAAUUCUUUCCAUGGAUGAACUCUUAAUUUUCACAACAAUCUUAAGAGGUAGAUAUAAAUAUUAUGCCCACUUUAUAGAUAGGGAAAAUUACAGUUUCAGAGAGACAUGACAACUUACCUAAGGUCACAUUCUAGAAAUUGGUAGAGUUGGGAUUUGAGCCCAGGUUUGUGAUAUUCCCUAGCCUAUUCUAACCAUAGGAAUAUGGCAUUGCGUAGUAGUAAAUUUAUGCACUCUAGCAUCAGACUGUGUUCACAUGCUGGACUCACAGCUGUGACUUACUACUGCCUUGCCUACUUAAGUGGCUUCUGAAAAUAUUUGGCCUUUCCAUUGGAGAUGGAGACAAAUGUGGGCAGUAAUGUUUUUAAAUAGAGUUUUCCCCAAUACCCAACAUAGAAUCUGCCGCAGAGCAGAUGCCUCAUAAACAUUGGCUCAGAAAAUAAAUAUAUUCACGACACUAUUGUAGGCACGGUGUGGGUUACAAAGGCAGUUGAUUGAUUACUUAUUUAUUGCAAGGAAUUGGCUGUUUUGCUCGUCAGGGCUGGCUUGGCAAGUUAAAAAUCUGCAGGGCAAACCAGCAGGCUGGAAACUCAGGCAGGAGUGGAAGCAGCAAUCCACAGUAAGUUUCUUCCCCAAGGAAGACUUCAGUUUGGUCUUUAGGCCUUUACACUGAUUGGAUGAGGCACACCCAGAUUAUUGAAGACAGUCUCUUUUAUUCAAAAGUCAACUGACUGUACAUGUUAACCACAUCUACAAAAUACCAUCACAGCAACACCUAGAUUCGUGUUUGAUUAAUAAAGUAGGUACUAUAUCCUAGCCAUAUUGACACAUAAAACUAAACUUCAUGGUCAGACUUGGUGGCUCACGCCUGUAAUCCCAGCAUUUUGGGAGGCCAAGACAGGGGGAUUGCUUGAGUCCAGGAGUUGGAGACCAGCCUGAGCAACAUGGCAAAACCCUGUCACUACAAAAAAUUUAAAAAACUAGCCAGGUGAGGUGGCGGGAGCCUGUAAUCCCAGCUACCCAGGAAGCUUGAGCCCUGGCAGUCGAGGUUGCAGUGAGCCAAGAUCGCGUCACUGCACUCCAGCCUGAGUAACAGAGUGAGACCCUGUCUCAAAAACAGACAAUCAAAAAACUAAACUAAACUAACCUUCACUUAAUUUUUUCAAGUUCGUUUCAUCAGCUAUAAAAUUGAGAUACUGAUCCUUACCUCCUUACCUCCUAUAUGAAAAUGCACAUUAGGUAGCAGAACUUUGCAUGAAGCAGAGCAACAGGGCUUAACAGGUCUUAGCGCUCAGUCUACAAGAAUCAGUGGGGAGGCCGUUGCAAUGCUUUGACGAGCAGGGUUUGGUUUGAAUAAGAAUAUAUUUUUCCAACAUGGAUAUUUUGUAAUAUAAGCACAUGGGUGGCGGGGAAACAGUUCAAACUGGCAAUCAAUGAAGAGGUUGUCUCACUCUAGGCCUUUCCCUCAGAAGUAAUCGUUGCUGAUAGUUUCUGACUAUUUUUCCAGAAUUUUGUUCUAUAUGCAUGCACGCUCAAUGCCUAAUCACACUCAGCCUUUUGUCCCCUUGCACCUUGCUUUUUAAAUUUAAUGGUAUGUCUUGGAGAAUGUUCCAUUUCAGCAUGUACAAAUCUACUUCUUUUAAAAAAUGGCUGCAAAGGGCUGGGCGUGGUGGCUCACGUCUGUAAUCCUGGCACUUUGGGAGGCCAAGGCAGGCGGAUUGCCUGAGCUCAGGAGUUUGAGACCAGUCUGGGCAACACAGUGAAACCCCAUCAAUACAAAAAAAAAAAAAAAUUAGCCGGGUGUGGCAGCGUGUGCCUGUAGUCCCACCUACUCGGGAGGCUGAGGCAGGAGAAUUGCUUGAACCCAGGAGGCGGAGGUUGUAGUGAGCUGAGAUCACACCACUGCACUCCAGCCUGGGCGACAGAGCGAGACUCUGUGUCUUAAAAAAAAUUGGCUGCAAAGUAUUCCAUUGUGUUGUUAAAUACUAAUUUACUUAUUUAAUAAGUUCUCAACUGAUGGUAAUUUAGGUUACCAACUUUUUUGCUAUUAUAAAUAAUACAAGGGUAAACAUCUUUGUACAUACAUACAUGUUUGCAUAAUGUGUAAGAAGAGAUGUAAGAUAAAUUUCGAGAACUGGAAAUACUGCAUUAAAGGGUUUGCACAUUUAAAAUGUCAAUGUAUAGUGCCACUUUAUCUUUCAAAGAGAUUGCAUUAGUUUAUACCCAACCAAUAGUAUACGAGAGUGCUGUUUCCCCAUGCCCUUAUCAACACUGCCACCUUGGAUUUAAACCUACUUGUUUUCCUUUAAAAUACCAAAAUGGGCAUUUGAAAAAAAGAGGCAUGAUUUGUUCCUUGGCAAGAGCUAUAUUUUGUUUGAGUUUGAUCUUUCUGAUAGCAGACCUAGGCCUUGUGCCCUGUCCUGUGGUCCCAUCUCUGAGGAGCUGGGCAGAUGACCUGACCACAGGACUCAAUCAGGAUAGCUUCAGGUCACCAGGCCAAAGGGUAGGCCAGACCCGGGCCUGUGCCUAGCCUGAUGAUGGAAAUGCAAACAAGCCAAGUUCUAUAAUAGAACACAGAGCCAUUGCCGGGAAACCACAAAUUGCUGACUUGCUCCUGCAAACAAUCAAUAUUCAGAAGCUGAGUCCAGGAAUUCUAACGAUGCAUCCUGCACAAAGGGCUGAGUGGGGGAGGAUGUGCUUUUAGAAAAAAACCCAGCACCAGAAGCCCUGGUGCUGCUUCUUAGAGGGCCAUCAAGAAGGCCCUUGGUCCCAUCACCACGCCCUCUGACAAUCCCAGAACCCUAGGCUCUCGGAGCCAGAGUAGAUCUGGGAAAUUAUCCUGCCCUGAGAGAGUCCAGGCAAAGAAUCAAGGGAGUUCCAAGGAGCAAGUGCUCACUUCGGUGGGAUAGUGCAGGGCAGUGGUUAGUGGCUACACUUGGGCUCAAAUCCUGACUCAGUCACCAGCUUUCUGACCUUGGACACAUUGCUUCACAUCUCUCAGCCUCAGUUUUCUCAUCUAUAGAAUGAAGACAAUAACACCUAUCUCAGAAGGUCAUUAUGAAGAUUCAACUGAAUAAUUAUGUUUGUAAAUAAUUUAGCAUGGCAACUGGCUUUUUGUAAGGUCGUAAUAAAUUAUUAUUAAUAUUCAUUUUUUUUUUGAGACAGAGUCUCCCUCUGUCACCCAGGUUGGAGUGCAGUGGCACUAUCUAGGCUUGAAUCCUCCUGGGUUCAAGUGAUUCUUCGGUCUCAGCCUCCCAAGUAGCUGGGACUACAGGCAUACACUAGCACGCCCAGCAAAUUUUUUGUAUUUUUAGUAGAGAUGUGGUUUCGCCAUGCUGGCCAGGCUGGUCUCAAACUCCUGAGCUCAAGUGAUCCACUGACCUUGGCCUCUCAAAGUGCUAAGAUUACAGGUGUGAGCCACCAUGCCUGGCCUAUAUUGUUAUGAAUAAACAAUAGGAUAUCAGGAGUGGGGACUAAGGAGAGGCCAUUUGCACUAGACCUUGAAGAAUUUGGAAGAUUUGGUAAUUAGAAUGAUUAAAGGGAUGAAGUUCCUGUGCAAAGGUUCUCUUCUCGUGUCUCUCCUGGCCUGACCAGGAGGCAUGCUGGGGUCUCAGCAGUAGACCACUGCAGAGGAGGGUGGGUAUAUGUAGGGGAUAAUUCCACUGCAGAACAUGUCAAAUAGUCCUUGCUUAAAUGGUAUCUACAAUGACAUUUGCAUCUGUGUUCCAAAUUCAUCCCCAUAUCCUCCUGUCUCAGCCUCCCAAAGUUCUGAGAUUACAGGCAUGAGCCACUGUGCCCAGCCUCCAUCCACAUUUGAAUGCAGGCUCCAUCAGGGCAGGCCCCUUUACUGUUAAAAUUCUGCGUGAUGAUGAAGGGCACAUGCCUGCACGGAUUUCCUCUACUCUGUUCCACCUUAGCUGCUUCCCUCCCUCAGCAACGCCUGGCAUCCCUACUCUGGGGUCGUUACUUAGAGGCAGGAUAUGGCUCCAAUUUAGCACCAUUAUCCCCAGGACCAGAUAGACAGUAAUUGGAAUGAAUCAAUAUAACAUACAAAACUCUUCAUAAUCUGGGUUCAGUAUAUUUUUUUAGCCAUUCUCUUAGCCUAGACUCCAGCUAGUCUCUAGCAUAGACUACAUAGAAUAAUGGUAACAUUGGGCUGGGGGUGGUGGCUCAUGCCUGUAAUCUCAGCACUUUGGGAGGCUGAGGUGGGUGGAUCACUUGAGGCCAGGAGUCCAAGACAAGCCUGGCCAACAUGGUGAAACCCCGUCUCUACUAAAAAUACAAAAAGUAGCCACGCAUGGUGGUGCACGCCUGUAGUCCCAGCUACUUGGGAGGCUGGGGCAGGAGAAGAGCUUGAACCCGGGAGGCGGAGGUUGCAGUGAGCCAAGAUCGUACCACUGCACUCCAGCCUGGGCAACAGAGUGAGACUCUCUCUCACAAAACAAAAACAAAACAAAACAAAACAAAAGAAUAAUGGUAAUAUUGAUCAUCAUUCACUGAGUGUGUACCAGUCAUUGUUCUAGCACUUUACAUGCAUUAAUUCACCGAAUCCUUACAGAACCCUAUCAGUUAAGUAUUAUUAUUAUCUCCAUUGGUCUGGUGAGAAAAUUAGACCCAGAAAGGUGAAACAAAUUCCUGAUAGAGCAAGGACUUGAAGCCAGGUGGUCUGCCUGGACCCUGAACCAUUCCCAGCCACUCCUCUCUGUUGCCUCUGCUGCAGAGUGGCUUUGCUCUUUCAAGUCGCUGAGCCUCUGCUCUGCUGCAAUGCCCUUCCCCAACUUCUGGCUCUAGCAAACUCUACUUGCCCUUUGAAGCCCAGCCCAGAUACUGCAUCCCUGGCCCCACCUGCUUCUCCAACCAGGGGAAGGAGGUUGUCCCUGUCUCCACUUUGUUCCCCUUACAAGUUGCUCCCAGUCCUGGAUGGGGAGGUCGUCUGAAACAGGACCCUGACUCACGCCUCAGUAUCCCCAGCCCUCAGCACAGUGCUUGUCUGUGGGUCUUUCAUUUGUGUUUUCAACAAACAUGAACGAGUUGAAUGAGUAACUCCACUGCUUCACACACAAGGAAACAAAUCCAGAGAGGCAGAGGGACCUGUCCAUAUCACACAGCCAGUGAGAGAAAGAGCUGAGGCCAGACUCCAGGGCUCCUGACACCCAGCCCUGCUCUCUCUCACGCCAUCCCAACUGUGUGUGGAAUGUUUGGAAAAGCCUUCAUGCAUCUUUGAGCCUUUCUUAAUUCUGUCUUACAUUUAUUUCAUCCCAAAGAGGACUUCUUUGAGAAUGCUGGUGGGAGAGUGAAUUUUGGCUCGUCUUGUCUGAAGUCAUGAGGCAACAGGGAAAAACAGACAAACAAUCCUGAGAUGUGUUUUACUGACCCGGUCCUCAAAACAGCAGAACAAAACACUCCACACUCAAGCUGGGGCUGCUAGCCAGCAGGGCACUGAGUGAAGCUGGACAGAAUUCACUAGGGAUCCUCCUCCCUUUUGCUUAAAAUGGUGGGGACUUUGGAGAGGAAGUGUUUUCUGGUUAGUCUGAAUUUUCUUUUUUUUUUUCCUUUUUUUUUGAGAUGGAGUCCCACUCUGCUCCCCAGGCUAGAGUGCAGUGGCACAAUCUCAGCUCACUGCAACCUCCGCCUCCUGGGUUCAAGCGAUUCUCCUGCCUCAGCCUCCCGAGUAGCUGGGAUUACAGGCGUGCACCACCACACCUGGCUAAUUUUCAUUUUUUUAGUAGAGAUGGGGUUUUACCAUGUUGGCCAGGCUGGUCUUGAACUCCUGACCUCAGGUGAUCCAUCCGCCUCAGCCUUUCAAAGUGCUGGGAUUACAGGCUUGAGCCACUGUGCCUGGCCCUUUUUUUUUCUUUUUCUUUCUUUUUGACAGGGUCUUGCUCUAUCACCCAGGCUGGAGUGCAGUGGCACAAUCAUGGCUCAUUCCCACCUCAGCCUCCCAGGCCCAAAUGAUCCUCCCACCUCACCCGUGUAGCUGGGACCACAGCUGUGCACCACCAUGCCUGGAUAAUUUUUAAAUUUUUUGUAGAGAUGAGGUCUCCCUAUGUCACCCAGGCUGAUCUCAAACUCCUAAGCUCAAGGGAUCCUCCUGCCUCUACCUCCCAAAAUGCUGGGAUUACAGGCUUGAGCCACUGUGCCUGGCCCUUUUUUUUCUUUUUCUUUCUUUUUGACAGGGUCUUGCUCUACCACCCAGGCUGGAGUGCAGUGGCACAAUCAUGGCUCAUUCCCACCUCAGCCUCCUGGGCCCAAAUGAUCCUCCCACCUCACCCGUGUAGCUGGGACCACAGGCGUGCACCACCAUGCCUGGAUAAUUUUUAAAUUUUUUGUGGAGAUGAGGUCUCCCUAUGUCACCCAGGCUGAUCUCAAACUCCUAAGCUCAAGGGAUCCUCCUGCCUCUACCUCCCAAAAUGCUGGGAUUACAGGCGUGAGCCACCACACCUGGCCAGUGAUGAUUACUUAUUCAUGAUGUCCUUUAUGGCUGGAAUGGCCUUCCUCACCUUGUCUGCCUAGGAAACUUUUACUUGUCCAUCAUAAGGGUGUUCUCCUUGGCAAGGCAUCUCUGACCAUCCCGUUUCCCCUCAGUGUGGUCCCUGGUUCUCUCAGCUCUCUCACCCCUUUUACCUUUGCCCCUCUAACACAAUCUGAUUUAUGUUGAAAUUGUUUACUUGCCCAUCUUCCCUAGUAGGUGAUGCCAGCUAAGAGGAUAGGCUCAGGUCUGUGCCCUCAGGGCCUAACAGUGCCUGCCCCAUGGAGACUCAGGAACUGGCUUCUACAUCCCUAGAUCAGGAGCACUAGGAGGUUGGGAGAAGAGAAGCUUUGCAGAGCUGGGGGCUGCACAGCUCCUGGGAGCACAAAUCAUAUCAUAUGCUAUUACUUUGUUUGAAUGGAGUCCCUGGAGCUGUGCAGCUUGGUAGCUCUGGGCCUCUGCCUGAGACAGACUUGGUCUUGAAUCUUAGCUCUGCCACAUUCUGGCUUCACUCCUUGGACCAUUUAAUCUGUUUAGGCCUCAGUGUCUUCACUUGUCAAUGACUGUUAUGAUUGUGACCUCUCAGAUUGUUGUCAAGAUUAAAUGAGAUGAUACACACAACGAUCCCGAUGGUGCCUGGCCAGUGGUAGUUGUAACCCGGUACCGGAUUUUUAAUGACAAGAUUCAUACCAGGGCUGAGCAUCAGACUAUGGGGUUGCCUUGGUAGUGUAAGAGGCAGAAAGGUAAUGUGAAGAGGCAGAAAGAACAGUGCUCUAGGAGACAAGAACCCUGGAUACAAGGGCUGUGUGUGUGCACAUGUGUGUGUGUACUUUCUCUGCCCUACCAUUGUGGUCCAUCUUCCCCUCUGUCCCAGGCCCAUCCUGGUUUUGUACUCCAUACUGAGCUGGAAAAAUUUGAGGUAGAGGAGCAGCUAGGAACCCAUCUAGGGUGGCCAGGCCUACCCGUGCGCUGGGAAGCAGGAGUGCCCUUGAGCAGUGGCACUGCUUUGGGCUGGAGCCAUGAGGCCUCCUCUGUGGUGGGGGUCAUGGUUUGGAGCAUGGGCUAUGGAGCCAACAGCCUGGGUGCAAAAUCCCUCUUAGCCCCUUCCUCACUGUUCUACCUGUCUGUGCCUCAGCUUCCUCACUGGAUUAGUUCACUAGGGCUGCUGUAACAAAGUGCCACAGCCUGGGUGGCUCAAACAGCAGAAGUCAUUUCACAUAGUUUUGGAGGCUAGGAGUGUGAGAUCAAGGUGUUGGCCCGAUUGGUGUCUAGUGAGGGCCUCUCUCCUCGGCUUGCGGGUGGCUGGCUUUGUGGUUCUAUGUUCGCUAUUGGUGAAAUAAGGGACAGUGAGCUCAGAAGGAAGUGAACUUCCAGGGUCUAAAUAGCCCAGGUGGAACAGUGCACAGACCUGCAGUGACACUGCCCAGCUGGCCAAUACUGGACUGUGUUUCAUCCUAGACAAUUUCAAGACACAAGUUUGUUUUAUGUUCUAUUAAUACCGUAUAAGAAUAAACACUAGAAAUUGUAAUUGUAAGACACCAUCAAUUAAGUCUCACUCUGAUCUCAGAGAUGCUGAAAUUUGAAAAAAAUAUGUGUUGUGUCUUAGAAUUGAUGAAAGACAGUAGGUCCUGUUUUUUAGCUUUUGGCAGUGAGGAUCCACUGAGGUGGAGGGGGGGCAGGCCAUGUGUCUGGGGCCGCAGACGCUGGCUGCUGUCCAGUAUCAGCGUCCACACAGGAAGUGGAAUGGUGAAGCACCAUCCCAGUCAAGUCUCCUCACUUGGAAAACUGGCUAAAUCCACGGCUGGGAAACAGAUCUCAAAAGCUGCACAGGUCCCACUUGAGCUUUUUGGUGGGCCUUGUAAAAUGAGCCCUUUGCGUGGGCAUCUGACAGACCUGGGUUCUUGCUCUAAAGCUGCUACUCAUCAACCAAGAAAUUGAAAGAUGAAAGGCUCCAAAGUGCAAAGAGGGGCCAGGCAUGGUGGCUCAUGCCUGUAAUCCCUCCGAGGUGUGUGGAUCACUGGAGCCCAGGAGUUCGAGACCAGCCUGGGCAAUAUGGUGAAACCUGAUCUCUACAAAAAAAAAAAAAAAAACAAAAACAAAAAGAAGAAGAAGAAAAUUAGCCAGGUGUGGUGGCACACACCAGUAGCCCCAGCUACUCUGGAGGCUGAGGUGGGAGGAUCACUUGAGCCCAGGAGGUCAAGGCUUCAGUGAGCCAUGAUCAUGAUGCCACUGCACUCCAGCCUGGGUGACAGAAUGAGACCCUGUCUCAAUAAGUAAACAAAAGUGCAAAGAGGGCUUUGCCAAAUGUUGCAUGCACAAGAUGGUGUGUGUGUGAGAGACAGGGCUGGGAGUCAGGGGUCCCGGGGUUCGGUUUUGGCUUUUCCCUCCCUGGCUGUGGACUUGGCCAGGUCCCUCUGCCUCUCUGGACCUGUUUCCUCGUGGGUAAAGCAGUUGAGUUCAGUCACUCAUCCAACAAAUGUGAACUGGGGGCCCUUUCUGGGUGGUGUGCUGAGGGCUGGGGGUAUACAGGGUGAGAUGUGGUCUCCGCUCCCGGAGAGCUCCGUCCAGUGUGGAGAGCAAGGAGUGAAGAGAGCAGAGAGGAGGCAGCCAGGCAUUCUCCAUGCACUGUCUCCUUUAAUCCUCAUCAUCACCUUAUGUGAUGGGUAACACAGGCAUUUUUAUUGCCAUUUCAGAGAUGCAGUCAUGGAGACUGAGAAAGAUGGUGCUGCUUACCAAGGCAGGGCCAGGGUUUGGACCUGUUCUGCCUUACCUAAAGCCAGUUCUCUUUCCUCUUCACCUUGGAUGGUCAGUCAGAAGUUUCCUUCUAGCACAGCAUUCUCAGAUUCUAUGCCAAAAAAUAGCCUGUGAGUGUCACAUUCUGACAGGCUUCUACAAGAUCCCCCUCACUUAGCAACCAAGUAAGGGAGAGCCUCUCUCUGCUCAGGAAUGGUGGGGCCGGGGGUAGGGGUGCAGGGUAGCUCAGCUUGUCUAACCUGGCUUGUCUUCUAAGGAGGUGGUAAGCACCAUGUUUCAGGGGAGUGAGCCUCCCCCUCACAAAAGCUUUCCAUCUACACUCAUGGGCAUGUCAGUGGUGUGACAUGCCAUCUGAGUGAUUCCACUUUGCCUGUUCAUUUUAUGCCCAGCAGCUCUUAAUACAGUCCAGCAGUUCAUACUGGAAAAUACAGAAAUCAAGGGACUGCUCUGUCAGUGAGCAUUAUGUUCACAGGUUCGUGUCACAGGAUGAAGGGGCAGGAGAAGAUGCUGGGGGCCAGUCCUUAGUCUGAAGCCUCCAUGGCAGCCCCAUCAAGGGAUUUUUUGGUCUCUGUUUGCAUAUCUCCCUGGAUAGGAGGAUCAUGCUUCCUUUCAGCUCUGGCUAGAAGAGACUUCUAGCUGGUAGAGCCCAACAAUACCUUGCACAUUUUGCCGAGGAAGCUCUCAGGCUGACAGUGAAGUGAUUUGCUCAGGGUUGCCUGGUGCGACAGUGGAAAGCCUGGGUCAGAGUCUUGGCACUGGGAAGCCUGGUUCUGUCCUUGACCUCAAAGUUGAGUGGAAAUAAUCCCAAGGGAGGAUUUAGGCUGGAUUCUUGCCUCAACCAGGUCAUUUAACUUGAAUUAAAUGAUAUUUAAUUCAAUUUAAUAUUAGCCAAGGCCUACUAUGUGCCAGGCACUAUACUUACACCUAAUGUGAUCACCUCCCUGAACCCUAGUUUCCCAUCUAUGAAAAAAAAUACCUCCUGUGCAUCUUUUCUCAGAGCCCUGUUAUGAGGAUGAAAUGAAGAAAAGGAAGUAAAGUGCUUUGUAAACUGUAAAGUGCUGUGUCCAUUGAGGCAUUGUUGCUAAAGCUGGCCAUCCUAUCUCUGCGGUCCACUCUGCCUGGAGCAGACUUCCCACUUAGCACUGGCUACCAUAUUUGAAUUUGUUUAUCUGCUCCUCACCCCCACCAGAGUUCCCAGGGGAGGAAUGUUUGGGGGCUUGUAUUUGAUUUCCCAGAACCUCGCCCUGGGCCUGGCACAUGGCAGAUGCUUAACAGUAUUUAUAAAUGUCAUAGUCCAUUCAGGCUGCUAUAACAAAAUGCCAUAAACUGGGUAGCAGAAAUGUAUUUCCCACAGUUCUGGAGGCUGGGAAGUCCAAGUCCAAGAUCAGGGACAGGCAGAUUUGGUGUCUGGUGAAGCCUGGUUUCCUGCCUCAUACAUAGCUGUCUGUCUUCCCUGUGUCCUCAUGGGGUAGAAAGGGCAAGGGAACCCUUUGGGGUCCCUUUUUUUUGAGACGGAGUUUCACUCUUAUUGCCCAGGCUAGAGUGCAAUGGUGUGAUCUUAGCUCACCCCAACCUCUGCCUCCCGGGUUUGAGCGAUUCUUCCGCCUCAUCCUCCUGAGUAGCUGGCAUUACAGGCAUGCGCCACCACGUGUAGCUAAUUUUGUAUUUUUAGUAGAGAUGGUGGUUUCUCCAUGUUGGUCAGGCUGGUCUCGAACUCCCGACCUCAGGUGACCCGCCCAACCUGGCUUCCCAAAGUGCUGGGAUUACAGGCGUGAGCCACCAUGCCCGUUUUUUUUUUUUUUUCUUUUUGAGACGGAUUCUUACUCUGUUGCCCAGGCUGGAGUGCAAUGGCACGAUCUUGGCUCACUGCAACCUCCACCUCCCGGAUUCAAGCGAUUCUCCUGCCUCAGCCUUCCGAGUAGCUGGGAUUACAGGCAUGCACCACCAUGCUCAGCUAAUUUUCUUUUCUUUUUUUUUUUUGUAUUUAGUAGAGAUGGGGUUUCACCAUGUUAGGCUGGUCUUGAACUCCUGACCUCAGGUGAUCCACCUGCCUCGGCCUCCCAAAGUGCUGGGAUUACAGAUGUUCACCACCGUGUCCAGCCCUGCGGUCCCUUUUGUAGGAACAAAUCCCAUUCAUGAGGGUUCCACUCUCACGACCUAACUACCUCUCAAAGCCUAUCCCUCCAAAUAUCACACUGGGGUUAGGUUUCAACUUAGGGGUAUUAUAGGGACACAAGCAUUCAGUCUGUAAACAGAACAUGUGAUGAGCUCUUGUUUCUCAGACCCAAGGAGAUGCCAACCUGUGGGCACUGGAAGACCCCUGGGGGGAGGGCUAGGGAGAGGGCAGGUGGGAAGGGUGACCACUGUGGUGAAGUAGCUACAUUGUAUAGGGUAUAUACCCUGGGGUGCGUCUCCUUGCGCCAGGAAAAUUUAGGACAUGGGCACACACGAGGAGUUUAGGAGCGGAGUUUUAAUAGGCAGAAGAGAAAGAGAAACAGCUUUUUCUAUAGAGAGAGAGGGGUCUCUGAGUGGAAAAGACUGGCUGGUGGUGGAUGCACCAGACUUUAUAGUCCAGCUUGAGGAGGUGGUGUCUGAUUUAUGUAGGGAUCACAGAUUGUUUUGAUCAGGUGUGAUAUUUACAUAGCGCAAGGAAGGCUUGUUGCCCCACCCUAAUCCUAUGAUGCAAAUGAACUCUCCUUGGCUGGUGCCAUCUUGUCUGCUCCUUACUGUACACGUGGCUGGCAAAGAAGGGAUGAUGGAGCCCCCAUCUUGAACAUGUCUAGUCCCUCCCUAGUCCCUAGUUCCUGCUGACAUUCAGCCAUGCAAGCUCCCAGCUUGUUUGUCUGUAUCUGCAGCUUGACUUUAUAGGUUGCUGUUUGGUAGAAAAUGAUUUUGGGCUGCUUUUCAUUAAAAAGAAAAGCCUUACCGAGGACUCCCAUAUCCUUACUAUCUGCCUAAGUGAUUUCUUCUUAACUCCUAUUAUCAGUGGGGUACUCUAAGCAGCGGGAGUGGCUUUGUUAUCCCAGCUUGGACCUGUAGUUUUUGGCUCUCAUGUAAAUAGAAAUGAACCCUGGCUGGGUGCGGUGGCUCACGCCUGUAAUAUCAGCACUUUGGGAGGCCGAGGCGGGCAGAUCAUGAGGUCAAGAGAUCGAGACCAUCCUGGCCAACAUGGUGAAACCCCGUCUCUACUAAAAAUGCAAACAUUAGCUGGGCAUGGUGGCACGUGACUGUAGUCCCAGCUACUCUGGAGGCUGAGGCAGGAGAAUCGCCUGAACCCGGGAGGUGGAGGUUGCAGUGAAUUGAGAUCAUGCCAGUGCACUCCAGCUGGGCGACAGAGUAAGACUCCGUCCCCCACCCCCCUCACAAAAAAAGAAAAGAAAGAAAUUAACACCAGGCCAAACAGAACUUUUACUCAGGCAAGGUUUCAUAGGCUUGCGUCUGGAGCAACUGCGCGGGAGCAUUGUAUGGGAAAGGGAUCCUGGUGCUAGCUCCUGGAAGGACUUGGCUCUUGUCAUUUUAAGGAAGCUGAGGCGAGAAAAAGGAGUGACAUGUAGGCAUGUAGGGAUGGGGAACUUUUAGCACCUGCGCAGUUUGACUAUGUGUUUCUCAUGCAUCAUAUGUCUCAUUAGUGCGUUAAAUCUCCAGCCCUGGGUGUGAUUUUUAGUAUUACGAUGUGAUUAUUAUAAGGAAAACUUGGUGAAAGGUCAGUGCUGGAGUCCAUCUUGUCUUCAGCCAACUGCAUGUGGUCUGGUUCUUAUCAGGAAUGCCAGAGGCCUGCUUUUAGCAACCUUGGGAGACAGCACUCAAGGACAUAAAUGGUUAGUUUCUUAUUUUUAUGGUUACAAACUCAGCCUGGUCAGCUAACUUAGGAGAGAGGUCCCCCUUUGCUAUGUGACGUGGGUCAGCUUGUUAACGGAUACAAGAAGGCAGCAGAGGGAAUAUGCCUGGACAUGUGA